AUUGAACGCUGGCGGCAUGCUUUACACAUGCAAGUCGAACGGUAACAGGCCUUCGGGUGCUGACGAGUGGCGAACGGGUGAGUAAUGCAUCGGAACGUGCCCAAUCGUGGGGGAUAACGUAGCGAAAGUUACGCUAAUACCGCAUAAGCCCUGAGGGGGAAAGUGGGGGACCGCAAGGCCUCACGCGAAUGGAGCGGCCGAUGUCAGAUUAGCUAGUUGGUGGGGUAAAGGCUCACCAAGGCGACGAUCUGUAGCGGGUCUGAGAGGAUGAUCCGCCACACUGGGACUGAGACACGGCCCAGACUCCUACGGGAGGCAGCAGUGGGGAAUUUUGGACAAUGGGCGCAAGCCUGAUCCAGCCAUGCCGCGUGCGGGACGAAGGCCUCGGUU
rnacentral:rRNA from 1 species